UAAUUAUGCCAUUAUAUGAUGAUUCAGCUC
rnacentral:piRNA from 1 species